AGUUGGUGGAGUGAUUUGUCUGGUUAAUUCCGAUAACGAACGAGACCUUAACCUGCUAAAUAGUAGCGAAGAAGCGGUUUCUUCGUGUACUUCUUAGAGGGACUUUGCAUGUCUAAUGCAAGGAGGUUUGAGGCAAUAACAGGU
rnacentral:rRNA from 1 species